rnacentral:rRNA from 1 species
CCCUUAGAUGUUCUGGGCCGCACGCGCGCUACACUGAUUCAUGCAACAAGUUUUGUCCUUGGCUGAUAGGCCUGGGUAAUCUUUGAACGUGAAUCGUGAUGGGGAUAGAUGAUUGCAAUUAUUCAUCUUCAACGAGGAAUUCCUAGUAAACGCAAGUCAUCAGCUUGCAUUGAUUACGUCCCUGCCCUCUGUACACACCGCCCGUCGCACCUACCGAUUGAAUGGUCCGGUGAAAUCUUCGGAUCUGAGAGAUGUCUGAUUAAUUUCGGACGCCUUUUGGAAAAGUUGCUUAAACCUUACCAUUUAGAGGAAGGUGAAGUCGUAACA